GGUAUGGGGUUGGGCACAGAUCUAGUGGAGCCGGGGUGACCAGAUGAACCAGUGUUGCCUCCAACCCCAAUCCUUCUGCCAUUCUGGGAGCCACAGGGCUGACAUCCCAUUCUCUGCACAGUUCAGCACUGGGGGAUCGAAUCGGCCAGCAGUCUGGUUGGACACUGGCAUCCACUCACGCGAAUGGGUCACCCAAGCCACCGGCGUGUGGACAGCUAACAAGCUUGCUGAAGAUUAUGGCCAUGACCCCACUGUCA
rnacentral:lncRNA from 1 species